UACGGAGGGUGCAAGCGUUAUCCGGAUUCACUGGGUUUAAAGGGUGCGUAGGCGGAUUAGUAAGUCAGAGGUGAAAGCCCCGGGCUCAACCUGGGAAUUGCCUUUGAUACUGUUAAUCUUGAGUACAGUUGAGGUGGGCGGAAUGUGACGUGUAGCGGUGAAAUGCUUAGAUAUGUCACAGAACACCGAUUGCGAAGGCAGCUCACUAAACUGUUACUGACGCUGAGGCACGAAAGCGUGGGGAGCAAACAGG
rnacentral:misc_RNA from 1 species